UUACGGGAGGCAGCAGUUUCGAAUCAUUCACAAUGGGCGAAAGCCUGAUGGUGCGACGCCGCGUGAGGGAUGAAGGCCUUCGGGUUGUAAACCUCUGUCACCGGGGAAGAAACGCUUCAAGUUAAUAGCUUGAAGCCUGACUUAACCCGGAGAGGAAGCAGUGGCUAACUCUGUGCCAGCAGCCGCGGUAAUACAGAGACUGCAAGCGUUAUUCGGAUUCACUGGGCGUAAAGGGUGCGCAGGCGGCCAAGUGUGUGAAGUGUGAAAGCCCGGGGCUUAACCCCGGAAUUGCACCUCAAACUACUUGGCUAGAGCAUUGGAGAGGGUAGCAGAAUUCACGGUGUAGCAGUGAAAUGCGUAGAUAUCGUGAGGAAUACCAGAGGCGAAGGCGGCUACCUGGACAAUUGCUGACGCUCAGGCACGAAAGCGUGGGGAGCAAAAGGGAUUAGAUACCCUGGU
rnacentral:rRNA from 1 species